GAUGAACGCUGGCGGCGUGCCUAAUACAUGCAAGUCGAGCGAACGGACGAGAAGCUUGCUUCUCUGAUGUUAGCGGCGGACGGGUGAGUAACACGUGGAUAACCUACCUAUAAGACUGGGAUAACUUCGGGAAACCGGAGCUAAUACCGGAUAAUAUUUUGAGCCGCAUGGUUCAAAAGUGAAAGACGGUCUUGCUGUCACUUAUAGAUGGAUCCGCGCUGCAUUAGCUAGUUGGUAAGGUAACGGCUUACCAAGGCAACGAUGCAUAGCCGACCUGAGAGGGUGAUCGGCCACACUGGAACUGAGACACGGUCCAGACUCCUACGGGAGGCAGCAGUAGGGAAUCUUCCGCAAUGGGCGAAAGCCUGACGGAGCAACGCCGCGUGAGUGAUGAAGGUCUUCGGAUCGUAAAACUCUGUUAUUAGGGAAGAACAUAUGUGUAAGUAACUGUGCACAUCUUGACGGUACCGAAUCAGAAAGCCACGGCUAACUACGU
rnacentral:rRNA from 1 species